UAAGAAAGUUAGUCUAUUGUCAUACCACCCGAAUGCGCGUGAUCUCGGAAACUAAGCAGGGUCGGGCCUGGUUAGUACUUAGAUGGGAAGAAAGUUAAAAGCAGGACUGUUCUAAA
rnacentral:rRNA from 1 species